GGGGGUGUAAUGGUUUCGACAUAUUACUAGAAGUAUAGAUAGCAAGUAGUGGAUUCUCGUUGGCCACUUAAAAAACGAGAAAUUUAAAUAUAAAUGCAGAUAAUAAUAGAGAAUUUGCUUUAGCUGCCUAGUCGCAGUUACGCUUUACCUUUAGGCCUACACUAUUGGAUAAAGUGUCAUCUUUGUAGGAAACAAAACUGCUUUUGCUCCUAAAGCAGCAGGUAUUUUAAAGAGCUAUAGUUUUUCUUAUUUUGUUUGUUAAAAAAGUAAAAUCGAAUUUAAAUAACAAACUAAACUUGUAGAAGUCUAUAUGGAAGGUAUUAUGGACAGGAGUUCGACUCUCCUCAUCUCCACCA
rnacentral:tmRNA from 1 species